AAGAAUUUUUUUUUUUCAUUGCUUUGGUGAGAAGAAAAAGAACUCGUGUCCACCGGCCUUUAGAGGGGUUUUGGAGAAAGAGAAUCGAUCUCACUUGAAGCCGAGGAAUACUUCUCAAAGGCAGGUUCUCCCAGAGUUCUUUUUUCUUUCUUUCUUUUUUUCGGUACCCUUUCUUCGUCAGGCAACAAUUUAACAAGGACAAUGAACAUCCUUGAGGAGGACUCUGUGUUUCAUCCAACAGAAAUCGAUUCAGAAACGUCCUUACAACAACUAGAAAUUGAUUCUGAAAUUGAAGCAUGGUGGUGGAGUAGAGUGAGAGAACCGGAGCCAAAGACAACUCUUUUAUUCUCUCUCGUGUUCUUGUAAUAUUGGUUUUCCGGCGCCGGAGUUUGUCGGACUUUCCGUCCGUCUAUGGCGAUUAUAUUCUGGCACUGAGAUCUUGGUUCCGGCCUGCGCCAUCAUUGGGAUAAUCUUUUUUGUGGUUCAGUGGAUUCUGGUCUCUCGCGUCAAGCUUUCUCCAAAGCGGCACUCGUUCUCUAACUCUAGCAAGAAUGGCACCGCUGAGUAUCUGAUUGAGGAAGAAGAAGGCACCAAUGGUCACAGCGUCGUUCACAAAUGCGCUGAGAUACAAAAUGCUAUCUCUGAAGGAGCAACCUUUUUCCUCUUUAUCGAAUAUCUGUAUGUUGGAAUCUUCAUGGUUGCUUUUGCAAUCUUGAUUUUCGUUUUCCUUGGCUCUGUGGAGGGUUUCAGCACAAAGAGCCAACAGUGCUCAUACAACGAAUGAGAGAUGUGCAAGCCAGAACUUGCCAAUGCUAUCUUCAGCACAAUAUCCUUCUUGCUUGCUGGUUUUCCUUCUCUGCUUUCUGGUUUCCUUGGGAUGAAAAUUGCCACUUAUGCAAAUGUCAGAACCACUCUAGAGGCAAGGAAGGGUGUUAGGAAGGCUUUUAUCACUGCAUUUAGAUCUGGUGCAGUCAUGGGUUUCCUUCUUGCUGCAAAUGGUCUUUUGGUCCUCUAUAUUGCCAACAACCUCUUCAAGAUAUACUAUGGUGAUGAUUGGGAAGGCCUUUUUGGGGCUAUAACUAGUUAUGGCCUUGAUGGUUCUUCCAUGGCUCUCUUUGGCAGAGUAGGUGGAGGAAUCUAUACAAAAGCUACUGAUGUCGGUGCAAAUCCUCAUGGGCAUCUUUGGUUUGGAAAUAUCAGGAAAACUAGAAUGAUGAGAAAAACAAGAAAGAUUGGUCACCUUUGAACUUGUGUGAUUUCCGAAUAUUAAGGAUUCUGGAGGAUGGAGUAUCCAAGUUGUUUCUGAAAGCAAAAUGACUUUUGGCUCUGUUGAAGAUACAAUAGAAUGAAGUCAACCUAUUGAAGAGAAUUCGCUGAUUCGGGAGAACUUAACAUGGGAGAGGCAUUGGCAUAAGGAGCUUUUGAUAAUUGUAUAAAGGUUCCUGCAUAGGUCUUUCCCCCAAGCUGCAGUUGGCAGCUCUCGUCAUAGAACUUGAAUUUGGAUGGGAUUCCCCUGCUCGACUCUUCCUCUGUUUAUGCCUUUUUAAUUCGUUUUUGAUGUCUUAAUUGAAGUUUGUUGGAUUCGGUUAUGUGAUUAAGUUUUAUGGUAGAGUACCUACUGGUUCAUGGUUCAGGUUUAAAAUCUGGUUUUAAUUUUAAUUGCUUAAAGAUAUUCGAAAAUGACCAUUGCAAACAACCUGCUGCUGUAAAGGUUGUGAUACUCGAAUGUCAGUGUGAAGAUGUGAUUGGGGUGAAAGUGCUGAAAUCAGAGCUCAGAAGAAGGUCAUCGGCUGUUGAUUCUGAUAUGGAAUACAAUUGGAAUGCCAACAUUGAGAUAUGCUUGAGAAGGAAGAGGAGAAAAAGCUUGGUCUGCCUUUGGAUGACUAUGUCGAGCUCAUGCUUGAUGUCUGUCCUGAAUAUUUUAAUUCCCAUGACAGGGAAUUCUGUGUAGCUUCCCAACUAGGUUGUGAUGACUUGGAUGCAAUGAUAACUGAAUGUUGGCUAUUGAGGUUCUCAAAGGGAAACAAGACUGACUAGAUUAUUAAAAAAUGAGGCUGACGAUGAAUUUAAUGACAAGCUGGCAUCAUUUGGUCACUUACUGUUCUCUUCAAGUGGACUAUGAAUCAGAUAAUUGAGAUAUGAAUGACUUUGAAUGUUGUUGGCCAGAGAGCAGUUUUGAAGCCUGCUCAGUAUACUGGAGUUCAGGCAAUAGCUGAAAGGCACAUACCAGACUUCGAAGGAAAUUGAGAUUGCUGAGAGAAGGAACAGGAAGCUGAAUACCAUUGUGAUGUUCUGCAGAUGGGGGGGGCAUCUUGAACUAAUUUAGAAUAAUGAAGGGAUUUUGGAGGGUUAUGUCAAGUAAAGGGUUACUGAUGCUCUGGACGAAGCUGCAACUAGAGAAUAAUUAAGCCUUACGAGAGGAAGAAUUCCCAUGAUGAGCCUUACUCUCUGAACACUGUCAUCGAUAAUUUUGGUGCACAAACUACUCAUGAAAAGGAAGGGUAUUUGAGGAUGACUUCCAAUCGAAAAAGGGGAUGAUCAACUUGUAGUAGAGUUUGAAUUAUCUGGUAAUGGUUGGGUUUCAGGAUUGAGAAGCCUUCCAGUUCUGAUCAAUUUCCCCUUGGUAGCCCUACCUGCUAACAUUUUGAGGCACAAAGAUUCAUAGCUGAAAAGGAAUAGAAAGUUAAAGUCUCACAAGUUUCUAAAAUCAAGUCCGAAAAGGUGCCUGGAGUUGAGAGACUUCAGGAUGGAAAUUAAAGAACUUCCCAUGACUGCCAAAUUCGAUACUUUGUUUUGAACAAAAUGGUGUCUCGUGAGUUUUGGUAUCAUGGCUCUAUGAUGUAUUUCUCGCCAACAAAUCCUCAAGUUAUAUUGAACAAAGUUCAAAUGAAUCUCGAGUUCUUGAAGCCUGGUGGGACAGCAUUGAUUCAGAAAACUUCGUAAAUUCUCACAAGAAUAAGAGAGAUGGAAUUUAGUUUCAUGCCCCGUCUGACUAGUUCUAUCGUGCGCCUGAGCACUACAAACCUGUGAGCAAAUAAUUCAUUAAGUAGCCUCAAUAUAAUCCAGAAAUUUAUGAAGGUUAUUUUCCAAUAACAGUCUUCUGAAUCAUCAUGGCACAGUGUAUGACCCCUUGCCCAAUGAACAGAAUGCUAACAAUCUCUAUUACAAUUUUUAAACUGGUCCUUUGUGUGAAAUGACCAGCCUAGAUUCGAGACUUAUUAUCGAAUUGAUUUGGUCACGAAAGAUGAAGUACUGCACUGCACAUAGAAAACUUCUAGAUGAAGACAAGUGGCACAAUUUUGAUGAUGGUCAUAUAACAGCUAAAUGAAGAGAACAUCAAAUCCGCUACUGCUUAUGUGCUCUUCUGGGAGGGUGAGAUUCAAUGAUGUUUCUGUAAGCAAUGGAGCACAGUCCUAUGUAGAUUAUGAAAAUAUUUUGUCCCCAGACGUAGAUCUUAGGCAUGUUUUGUACUUCAGAAAGAGAAGAGUUGUAUAUUCUGGAAUGCAUGGCUUGUUUGAAUAAAGGAAACUAUGCAAGACAAUAUUCCUGCUUAUGCUUUGAUCGCUUAUAAAAUGAGUGAUUGCUUAGAACUUGUAUCUCCAUGAUAGAAACUGUCAGUAGGCUCAAUGACAUUGCUGAAUUUGUGGUAUUACCUGUUUAUGUGGGGCAAAUUUCAUGGACCAGACGAAGCUUCGUAGCUUGACUUCGAGGGGUGGAAACUGACAUGAGAAGUUGCCUUCAAGAAUGGUCUGGUUAAGCUUGCUACAAAUUCGCAAAAAGCCUCAAGUCACUGUCUCCAGAAUCUGCAUGUCCAAUCCCCAUUCGCUGCCAGAACCAUAGAGCGAUUCACAUUGUCGUCGUCAUCUUCGAUCUUCUUUUUUUGCAGCGAGAGUCUGAAAGCAAUCUCAAUUGGGCCAACCGCAAACCACUCAAAUUGUCGGUGUGCCAUCUCAUGCCAUGUCAAUGUAUUGGCAAGGAUAUAAUAAAACAUCAAUCAGUACCUCUCAUGCUCCACAACAACCUUCCCCUCAGGCAACAUCCACAACGUCAUUUCCCUCAGCAUUGCCGAAUGAGUUGCAGGCUCCUGAAAUUCAGGCAUCCCUAUUUGUGAGCUUGACAAAUGCAUUGGAACGCAUUGCUCCUGCACCUUGACUUAUAGCAUGUGAUCCUACACCUUCACUUGUACCAUCUAAUUCUAUGUCUUCACUUACCCCGUUGAAUUCUGCACUUUCAAAAUUUUUCAUAUUCUCUUACUCAGGAACAAUUUUCUACUUCUUCUGAUACGAUGUCCUUGUUUGCAAAGGCAACUCUACCAUCAUACUCUGUACCUGUAAUUCGAAUAUAAUAAACAUGCCUUCAUUUCCUUCAUCUUAUCAAGACGUUAACACCAUUGAAGCUCCAAUUACUGGUAAAAUAGUUUUUGAUCUGGUAUCGGUGCCUCCUAUCCAUCCCCUGCAUCAUUCUGCAUCCACAAUUGGGGGUUCCACCUCUGGCCUCCUUCUGACUCUACCUUCAACUUUAUUAACUCCUGAUCAAUUAGCACAACCCAUGUCAUCCAUGCUUUCUUCCUCACCAAAAGUAUACCCUGGUCAGAUGGAUAAGGUUGCUCCAACAUCAACUUCUCCUAAUACUUUGAGCACAAUGUCUACUCCAGCAUUUCAAGCACCAUUGUUGCCAUUGCCAGCCUCUGCUCAACAGUCUCAGAAGUCUAUUGUGUAGUUCACUGAAGAAUUCAAUUUCAUAGUGAUGAAUGAAAGGUUUAAAAGGGAUGAAGUUUGGGGUUAUCUUGUAAAGACUCAUUUGAUUCCAUUCGAAAUUCCUGCAUAUGUUAGUGAAAAUAUUCCUGAGUCAGUUCACCUCAAUAAUGGCCCUACUAGACAAUUUAUCACUUCUGAAAGUAAGACAGAUGGACGAGUAAAGGUCGAUCCUCUUAUGGGAAGUUGAGGAUUACGAUUUUCUCGAAUUUGAGUCAACUAAUCCGAAAGUUGUUGUAUUCGAGGCUAAUGCUUUCAUCCAGUUGGAAAACUCUAGUGAUGAGGGUACCCCUUCUGAAGAAUCAAGAAGUUGUUGAAUUUGAGGCUUCCAAUGGAGGAAAUUUGAGCUUCUUCUAAUAAGACUUCCAAGGCUGUCAUGCUCAUUACAUUGCAGUUCAGAAUUCUACUUUGAAGUCCUUUCAAAACUCACUUUCCAAAAGGCUCAGAUGCAAUGUCACAACUUAUCAAAAUUGCUAGCAUUCAUGUUCUUGAAAGACAGUCUCCUAAGUCUGAUCCCAAGGAGCCUUUGAGGGUUUAUUGCUCCGUUCUAGAAUAUGGAGAAAACGAUAUUGAGUGAGGACGCUGCCAUAGCUGGGAUUGAGAUUAGUUUUCAUUACAAUCCACCCCAUGAAAUGAAUGUUCCAAUACAGGCUGCAAAUUGAGAAGGCCAGUUUCGGAUUUUGAUUUUGAUGAUGGGUAACCACAAGGGAGUAGUUAGGCUAUCAUUAUCGCAUAAGCAGUAGAGAAGCAUUUCAUAUCUCAAUUACGCAGUAUUGCUCCAGCAAACACUCAUGCUGAAAGGCAAACCCAGAGUUCAGGACUUCAGCAUAAUCAACAAUCGGAUGCUCCCAUGUCUAAUGAUAGCCAACCGGCAGAAGGGGGCGAUAAUACUGGAAGCAAAGAGGUGAAGGGCAGCCCGAAGAAAACAGUAAUGAAAUAGUCAAGAUGAUCUACUGACCCAAGAUGUCUUGGUACUUGAUACAAGUGCUGAAGUUUUUAUUGGUCAGGUUGCUGACCUCAAAGAACAACAGAAUGCUUUUGAAAUCAGCCAGGAACACAUCGAAAUCGCUGCACCACUGGAGGACUACAUUGCCCUGAAUCCAGCCAAGCAUUUCACAUUUGUUUCCCAUAGUGCUGGAGGUGCUCUGCCAAGAGGUUCUGGAACGCUCAAAUAUUUUAAUUGGAGGAUUUCUAAUGCUUCAAUAGCACUCACCCUAUGAUGAAGACUCAGUUUGUGAUGAAAGAGUGGGGUUUCUGGCAUCCACCCAUACACCAAACGCGGAACCAAUAUUUGCUCAUCUUAUAGAAACAAGCGGUUUUCACUGCAAACCAAGUGAUCAAGAUGAUGUAGGCUGUAAGAAUUUCCCGGAAGCAGUGCAAAUGGCCGGGCCAGAUGAUGAAGCUUUUCUCCAAAAGCUGAGGCAAAUGUUAUUGGAAAUGGGAAAAUCGAAACAGAAGUUAUAAUGCUCUCCUUCUCUCAUGUUCAAAAUUAAAAAGGAUUUAGGCAGUCGAUGAAACGAAACUCAUUUGAUAGAAAGGAUUUUAUUUGAAUCAGAAUGUAUAGUGAGUAGUUCGACAAUGGCUGGUUCUAGUAAUUAUGCACUAAAGUUGGAUCAAA